AUUGAACGCUGGCGGCAGGCCUAACACAUGCAAGUCGAACGGUAACAGAAAGCAGCUUGCUGCUUUGCUGACGAGUGGCGGACGGGUGAGUAAUGUCUGGGAAACUGCCUGAUGGAGGGGGAUAACUACUGGAAACGGUAGCUAAUACCGCAUAACGUCGCAAGACCAAAGAGGGGGACCUUCGGGCCUCUUGCCAUCGGAUCUGCCCAGAUGGGAUUAGCUAGUAGGUGGGGUAACGGCUCACCUAGGCGACGAUCCCUAGCUGGUCUGAGAGGAUGACCAGCCACACUGGAACUGAGACACGGUCCAGACUCCUACGGGAGGCAGCAGUGGGGAAUAUUGCACAAUGGGCGCAAGCCUGAUGCAGCCAUGCCGCGUGUAUGAAGAAGGCCUUCGGGUUGUAAAGUACUUUCAGCGGGGAGGAAGGGAGUAAAGUUAAUACCUUUGCUCAUUGACGUUACCCGCAGAAGAAGCACCGGCUAACUCCGUG
rnacentral:rRNA from 1 species